rnacentral:rRNA from 1 species
UACAGAGGGUGCAAGCGUUGCUCGGAAUUAUUGGGCGUAAAGGGUAGGUAGGUUGUCCUAUUUGUCUGGUGUGAAAUCCUUGGGCUUAACCCAAGAAGUGCAUCAGAAACGGUAGGACUGGAAUCUUGGAGAGGGUCGCGGAAUUCCCCGGUGUAGCGGUGAAAUGCGUAGAGAUCGGGAGGAACACCAGUGGCGAAGGCGGCGACCUGGACAAGUAUUGACACUCAACUACGAAAGCAUGGGGAGCAAACAGG